UUCGUCCCUGGCGCGGUGCUGCGCGCGCGUCUGGUGGGCCUGGCCGACAGCCAGGAGGUGAAGCGCACGUGGUUCUACGUCCGCGCGGGCGCGG
rnacentral:tRNA from 1 species